GAUUUUAUUCAAAACUAUUUUGAUUAAAGCCAUGGAUAUUAAUUUAUUUUUAUUUUUAUACCAUCCACUUGUUCUUAAGCUUAUCCUAUCAUUCUAAAUAUCCAAUUAUUCCUAUCCAAAUCUUUAACUUCCUCAUUAAGUAAUUUUUACUAUCUUCCUCUAUAAGCCAAGCUUAAGCUUUUCUUCACUCAAUCCUCUCACCUGCUCUCUCCCUACUCUCGUUCCAACACCAUACAAAAAAAAAAUCAAGUGCAAAGCUCCAUUUAGUAAACAACUGCAGAUUCAACACCAUACCUUUCUGCAGCAACAAAUUGAUUCUAGCCAUCACAAAUCAACAACACAACAGAAUUAUUUCUAAAGGUUAUUACCUCUACCUCAAACUAGAAAUCCCACACGCACAUCUAUUCCACCAUUCAUAUAUAUAUAUAUAUGUAUUAUAUGUAUGCAUAGCUCAGUCAACAAACUCAUGUAUUUGCUUAUUAGAAGCAACAAACUGAAGAUGCUUGAAUAUAAAUUUGUAUAUAUAUACAUAUACGAAACAUGAUUUGUUUUAACAAUGAAAGGAAAAGAAAGGUAGAGUCUUAAAUUCUUGUUUUUGCUUUUGAACUGGUGUUGUGUGUGUGUUGGGCUGGAUCGUGAGAGAGAUGCGAGACAGAGGGAGGUCGCGGCACGGCGGCUCUGCCCGCUGCUGUCGAGCCGAGGACGAAGAGAGAUAGGGAUGCAGGAGCUAAGGGGGUGGCGGUGGUUAGCUCGGCUAGCUGCUACGGCCGUCGGACUUCGGAGUGAGGCGACGGCGGGGUUGUGAGGGGAACCCGGUGAAGGCGGCGUCCUUCAUCGACUGGAGGCGACGCGGAGGCGCGUUCGCCGGAGGUCGAAAGGGAGUGGAGGGUGCGGCGGCAGUCUGCUUCUUCUGCUGCUGUCGGCCAAUUUGAGUGAGGAGGGAGGUAGUUCAGGCGGCGGCGGCGGCUGGUCUGGUGCAGUCGUCGGAGGGAGUUCUGGGUUCGGUGAGAUAGAGGGCGAGUGAUGGGGGCGAAAUUCGAGAGAGUGGAGGGAGAGCCGAGGGUGGCGCGGCUUGUCGCCGCUGCUUCCCCGGCGAGUCUCCGCGGCGGCGGACUUCUGACGUGAAGAGAGAGGUGAUGGGCGUCUGUUUGAGGGAGAUAGGAGAGUAGAGGAGAGGGAGAGGGUUGUCGGGGGCGGCGGCGUGGCCGGCGACGCCUACCGUCGCCGGAGAUGGGAAGAAGGGGGAGGGGGAGUGUUGUGCAGCGCAGCUGCUGCGUUGUGGGUGUGUGCGUGUGUUGUGUGUGUUAUGUAUGUGUGGGUGUGUUAAAUGAAGAUGGAUUUAGGGCUGGGCCCAAAGAUAAGAUGGGCUGCCUUUUUUUUAGGAAGUGGGCCGAUUUUAAUUAUGUUUGGCCUCUGUUUUAUGUUAAAGAGUUGGGCUGCUAUUAUAUUAGAUUUAAAUUAGGAUUUCACUAUUUAAUGUUCAAUUAGUUUAUUAAUUAGACCUUAUACUUGGGUUGACUUUUAUUCAAAAUUUAGAUAAUAUAAUAUUAAUAUUGCAUAUUUUAAGUAUUACUUAUUAUAUGUUUAAAGCAUGAAUGAUUCACUUGCACAUGCAAUAAAAGUAUUUAUGAUUUAAUUGGAUCCAAUUAAUAAAGAAAAAGAGUAAGGAUAUUGUUGGUGUCCUUAACUCAAAAAUUUUAGUUUUCAAUAUUUAUUCAUUAAAUUUUAAAACCCGGCUAAGUGAAUUAUAGAAUUUAAGCACUUUACUAUGACUUAAGAUUUAGAUUCUAGGAGACCUAUUAAGAGUAUAGAUUUCUUGUAGGCUUGUGGAUCGUGAGGAUUAGCACUUUUCGAUUCAGAGAUAAGAUUAACGACAGGCAUUGCCUAUACAGGUGGGCUUAUUUUCCAAAUGUAUAAUUGAGUUAUUAAGCUCUAAAUGUUUCAUGAAUUGAAACUGUUUAUCCAAUAAAUAUUUUUGUGCCUCUUAUGUUUAAGGCUCGCAAUUCAUGAUCGAUCGAGGUUCUCUUAUGACCUAACACGUUGUUUGAGAAUUUGUACACUUGUUAGUUGUUUCGGUGGGUUGAUCUCCAUCGGGCACUAAUUCAUGUAGAGGCGUUAUAAGGGUGCUGCUGGAUGUGUUCCGGAGCAUGUAUCAUGUAAGGCCUGCCUGGGUAGCGUCCCGAGGUCAAUUCAACUUGUCUGAGUUACGUCCUCAGGGCAAGUGUCAUGGGAGAAAGCGAUACGCGGUGGCUAAAAGGUCCGGUAUCACAGCGAGUAACUAAACAGAGUGUGACAAUGGCGCGCUAAUAAAAUGAAAUUUUAACAUGCUUAGAAGUCUUUUUUUUUAAAACCUUCUAAGUUAUGUCAUGAAUGAUUGGAUAAACUGCUCUUACGAAUUGUGAAAUGUUUUAAAAGUUCAGCCCACUAAGUACAUUAGUACUUAGCCCAAUAUUUUCAAAUGUUUUCAGGUUGAUGGUGGUGUUGACGGGGAGAGCUGAGGCUAGGGUUCAACUC
rnacentral:lncRNA from 1 species